UGGGGAAUCAUGGUCAAUGGGCGAAAGCCUGAACCUGCGACGCCGCGUGAGUGAUGAAGGUCGUAAGAUCGUAAAACUCUUUUCAGGGAUCUUAAAGCACAACCGUCAACAACGGCUGUGUGUGACUCUCCCUGGAAGAAGCCCCAGCCAACUACGUGCCAGCAGCUGCGGUAAUACGGAGGGUGCAAGCGUUAUUCGGAAUUACUGGGCGUAAAGCGCGUGUAGGCGGUCCUGCAAGUCUGAUGUGAAAGCCCCGGGCUUAACCCGGGAAGUGCAUUGGAAACUGUGGGACUUGAGUACUGGAGAGGAUGGGGGAAUUCCCGGUGUAGAGGUGAAAUUCGUAGAGAUCGGGAGGAAUAUCAGUGGCGAAGGCGCCCAUCUGGACGGUAACUGACGCUGAGACGCGAAAGCGUGGGGAGCAAACA
rnacentral:rRNA from 1 species